UCCACUGCUAGCCCUUCUGAGUGGACUGCGAGCUUCAGACCUCCCUUGCUGACCUAGCCACCCAUGACAUCCCAUGAAAGCUUGCUACAGCCAGAUCCAUCAGUGCUUGACCUGCUUGGUCUUGUUGCUAAAGGGGAACAACAGAGCUUGGGGCCCAUGGCCCACAUGAAGGUAUCUUUGUCAGAGUCCCAAGUCUCACUGGACAUCUCAGAUUGCUCCUACCAGGUCUUGCUCUAAUGAGACUCCUUCAAUGAAGACAAUGCCUCAUCUUGAUCUUCAGAUUCUUGGCUCCAUGAUGCCCCUGUUCAGCAAAAAGUAGCCAGAUGAUUUCUUCGUCCAUUUUCUAUCAAAUAGAGUCUGGUAUGAUAGGUCAGGAUUCAAAGUUUCCCAGGCACCUUGCGCCAAACACUCUCCCUCUUGGUUUCCCUGCAUCCAA